rnacentral:rRNA from 1 species
GCCCGUCGCUACUACCGAUUGAAUGGUUUAGUAAGGUCCUCGGAUUGGUGCUAUUGUAGUUGCUCCGGCAGCUCGACCAGCGCUGAGAAGACGACCAAACUUGAUCAUUUAGAGGAAGUAAAAGUCGUAACAAGGUUUCCGUAGGUGAACCUGCGGAAGGAUCAUUACUGUAUACCCAAACCACAUACACUCGGUUUUACCGAGUAUUCUCAACUUGGGUCGAUCUGCCCAGACCGAGACGGCGGCCUUCAUGGCUGCGAUAUCUAGGCUAUGCCUGGUGCUUCGUACACCUACGCACAGUCAAAACUACCGGCAGGGUGCCUACCUGUCUGAAGCUCUGGGUAUGCUUGCUUCCUUCGGGUCGCCAGUCCAUAUUCGGGGUGACGGGAUGUACUGUCACUGACAGUGCUAGGCUCAAAGAGUGGCCAUGAAGCUACGGCUCAACCACCGCCCUGUUCUACUGUUGUUUCCAACCAUUUUACACUAUUCAAGUGGCUCUAUUUGGCUUGCCAGAUUGAGUCAUUGCCCUAACAUGCACCCGGUGUGAACUGGACUGCAUGUGCGGUCGCCUGGCGGUGCCUAUCCCGGGCUUGACUGAGAACCUAUACAUCGUUCAUCUGGGAAACCGGGUGUGCGAGGUGAGUACAACUUUGAGCGGUGGAUCACUCGGCUCGUGUGUCGAUGAAGAGCGCAGCCAACUGUGUGAAUUAAUGUGAACUGCAUACUGCUUUGAACAUCGACAUCUUGAACGCACAUUGCGGCCACGGGUUAGCCUGUGGCCACGCCUGUCCGAGGGUCGGCUUAUAAACUAUCACGACGCCCAACAAGUCGUGGCUUGGGUUUUGCCAGCUGGCGUGAUAUCCCCAUUCGGGUUCCUAUGGUCCCGUGGGGUGCCAGAGCUAUGGCUUCUCCCUAAUGUGCCCGGACGCGCCCGUGUCUUGGUUGUUUUCCUGGAUUUGGGGUGCUUCGGCGGAGUCGUGGCUCAGUGGUACUUGAUAAUGAUGCGCGCUCCGUCGUUGUGUUCCUUUUUUGGGGGAUUGCUGAGGCUGGUUACGCUGCCGAUGAUAAUGCUGACCUUGCACUCUCGUGGUGCGGUAUAUUUUUCCUGACCUCGGAUCAGACGUGAAUACCCGCUGAACUUAAGCAUAUCACUAAGCGGAGGAAAAGAAACUAACAAGGAUUCCCUCAGUAACGGCGAGUGAACAGGGAAAAGCCCAGCACCGAAGCCUGUGUUCAUUUGGGCACAAGGCAAUGUGGUGUUUAGGUCGUUCCGCAGAGAUACUGCUCCACUCCAAGUCCAGCAUUGAGUACGGUAUGGACAUGGCCCAAAGAGGGUGAAAGGCCCGUCGGAGUGGGGUUCAGGUAUGACAGUGUCUCUCUGGGUAGACCUUGGAGUCGGGUUGUUUGUGAAUGCAGCCCAAAGUGGGUGGUAAACUCCAUCCAAGGCUAAAUACUUACACGAGUCCGAUAGCGAACAAGUACCGUGAGGGAAAGUUGAAAAGUACUUUGAAGAGAGAGUAAACAGUGCGUGAAACCGCUCAGAGGUAAACGGGUGGAGUUGAACUGCAAUCUUCGAGGAUUCAGCCGGUGAGCAUGGCUUGAGCUUGGACAAAUUGGUUGAAUGCCAGGGUCUGUGUAACAACAGGUCUGUGCCUUCGGGUAUGGAUGUGCGAGACACUUAACAGGUGUUGUGCGCUCUGGCAAUUUUGGACCAGCUCGUCGGUGCACUUUCUCGGAGUGUUCACCACGACCGGCACUGCUGUUUGGGUGUCGCGGUUAAACCGUUCUCGUAUCGCCUUCGUGGCUUUGCUUGAUCGGGAUGGCAGGUAGCUCGUUGGUUUUCCGCGGUUCGCCGUGGUUGCUUUCGGGUGUAAUAGCUUUCCGCGAUGGUACUAUGCAGUGUGUCGGAGACGGCGGCUUAUGGUGUGUACGUGCGUGCCUGUUCCGUCGGCAGUUCCGGGUUCGGUUAUUAUGUUGCCUGUAAAAGCAGGCCUAGUGAUAUCCCGGUUCUGUUGGGUUGGCGGUUGCGUGCGUGGCACUUCCCAGGGCCAACAGUCUGUGGUGUAGUGGUAGACUAUCCACCUGACCCGUCUUGAAACACGGACCAAGGAGAGUAACAUGUGCGCGAGUCAUUGGGCGUAACGAAACCCAAAGGCGCAGUGAAAGUAAAGGUCUGGCUUGUCUAGACUGAGGUGAGAUCCUGUCGUUUCCCACGCGUGGUACUACCAAGCAUCGAGCGGCAGGCGCAUCACCGGCCCGUCCCAUGGCGUAGUCACAUAGUCAUUGGCCAGUGCAGCACCGGGGCGGAGCAUGAGCGCACAUGUUGAGACCCGAAAGAUGGUGAACUAUGCUUGCGCAGGUUGAAGCCAGAGGAAACUCUGGUGGAGGACCGCAGCGAUUCUGACGUGCAAAUCGAUCGUCAAACGUGAGUAUAGGGGCG